AUGCUCACUCCAGCAGCACAUAUACUAAAAUUGGAACGAUACAGAGAAGAUUAGCAUGGCCCCUGUGCAAGGAUGACACACAAAGAGUCGGACACUACUGAA